AUUGAACGCUGGCGGCAUGCCUUACACAUGCAAGUCGAACGGCAGCACGGGAGCAAUCCUGGUGGCGAGUGGCGAACGGGUGAGUAAUGUAUCGGAACGUGCCCAUUCGUGGGGGAUGACGUAGCGAAAGCUACGCUAAUACCGCAUACGAUCUAUGGAUGAAAGCGGGGGAUCGCAAGACCUCGCGCGAUUGGAGCGGCCGAUAUCAGAUUAGGUAGUUGGUGGGGUAAAGGCUCACCAAGCCGACGAUCUGUAGCUGGUCUGAGAGGACGACCAGCCACACUGGGACUGAGACACGGCCCAGACUCCUACGGGAGGCAGCAGUGGGGAAUUUUGGACAAUGGGCGCAAGCCUGAUCCAGCAAUGCCGCGUGCAGGAUGAAGGCCUUCGGGUUGUAAACUGCUUUUGUACGGAACGAAACGGCGAGCUCUAAUACAGUUUGCUAACGACGGUACCGUAAGAAUAAGCACCGGCUAACUACGUGCCAGCAGCCGCCGUAA
rnacentral:rRNA from 1 species